rnacentral:rRNA from 1 species
AGAGUUUGAUCCUGGCUCAGGAUUAACGCUGGCGGUAUGCCUAACACAUGCAAGUCGAACGGAAUACUAAUUAAGAGAAUCUCACACUAGUGAGAGGUUCUCACGAGUAGUAUUUAGUGGCGGACGGGUGAGUAACACGUUGGAACCUGCCCCGAAGUGGGGAAUAACUGCUCGAAAGAGUAGCUAAUACCCCAUAGUAUCCGGUUUAUCCGGAUUAAAGAUUUAUCGCUUCGGGAGGGGCCUGCGUCUGAUUAGCUAGUUGGUGAGGUAAAAGCUCACCAAGGCGACGAUCAGUAGCUGGUUCGAGAGGAUGACCAGCCACACUGGGACUGAGAUACGGCCCAGACUCCUACGGGAGGCAGCAGUGAGGAAUCUUCCACAAUGGCGCAAGCCUGAUGGAGCAAUACCGCGUGCAGGAAGACGCUUUUCGGAGUGUAAACUGCUUUUGUCGUCGAAGAUUAUGACUGUAGACGAAGAAUAAGGACCGGCUAACUACGUG